UCAUAGAGCAACAAAGCUUAAAAGAAGAAACAAAUUAGGUGAGAGUCUCUAGUUGAAAUCCAAAGAUAGUGAAAGAGAUGAAGGAUUAAGGCAGCUGAUCAAGGUCCUGUGUGUCUGCCAAUUUCUUUUCUUUUGGCUCUCUCCACUUUUGGAGCCAAAUAGUGUAAAAACAUCUUACAUAAUGUCAAGUUUUAUUUUGUCUAAUGUCCAAGAUUAAUUGAAUGCUGCACAUCCUUUGUGAAACAACAAUAAAUGUGUUCCAAUUCAAUCUUUAAGAACAAUAAUUGGCCGAGGGCAAAUCUAGUCUGAGUGAUGCCAAAAACAUUUCUCUCAACACGCACACAAAACCAGCAACAAUCAAGAAAAUCUCAAAGGCCAAUUCGCAGCUGUUUCUUUACACAUUAUUUACCAAAACAAAUGAAGCUUUAAGGUAUGUAGGAGAAAUAACGCAAAUACUGACGUUGCAAAAUUUAAAGUAAAGUACAAAAUUCACGGAACAUUGUCGCUGGACUGCAAAAUAUAUUAGCCGCCCCCGAAUUAACUUCUUAUACCGCAUUGUAUAAACAACUUUAAAAAAAGUAUUUUAAAUUUAGAAAUAAAUAUGUAACCAGCAGGUAAUGAAACUAAU
rnacentral:sRNA from 1 species